ensembl:rRNA 5_8S_rRNA 5.8S ribosomal RNA
GACUCUUAGCGGUGCAUCGUUGGGCUCCUGCAUUGGUGAAGAAUGCAGCUAGCUGUGAGAAUAAAUGUGAAUUGGAGGACAUUGAUCAUCCACACCGUGCUUGUGGCCCAGGGUUCCUCUAGGGUCUAUGCCUGUCUGAGCAUAG